rnacentral:rRNA from 1 species
AGGCCCUCCGAGCUGGUGGAAUCAAAAACUGAGAACACCGAAGAAGAUGUCACGGAUGAAAUGACCGGUGGUGCCUCGCGUUCUCUUGGCUUCCCGACAAAAGAGCCCUUUGCAUUUCCAGGACUUCGCAGUGACAUAGAAGCUAUUGAGAAAGGCUUCGGUAGCUUUCUGGAUGAAGCUGAGCGGAUGACCAACGAGUUCUUCAAAUCUUUUGGAUUUCCAACCAUUCAUGACGGGGACUCGAGACCAUCUCCUAGGCAACCUGCAGAGAGGCAUAUUGGAGAAGGUGCCGCAAAGAAGCCCAAUGAGAAUGAGUACUCCGAAUUCGGUAGCCAGAUAACAGAUGUGUAA